ACAGGCAUGGCCGACUUUGAAGCCAGUAGCCCAGACCCCUCGCUGCAGCCGCCAGCAUGCUCAGUUACAGGUACACACAGCCACUUUCAGAUUUGAGGAGUACCCAAGACACUCCCUUGGGGCCCGGCUAGUACCAGGGGCCUGGCCGCGGCAUCCGCCGAUGAUAGAACAGCGCUGCACAUUAAAAGUACAUCUGUGCAGGCCAGGCCCCAGCAGGCUGUCGGCGCACAUGAUCGGACAGCUGCCGCUGGAAGCCUGCACCUGCUCGCCCACAUUAUGCUCCGUCAGUCACAGACAGAGCGGAUUUUAUGAUGAGCGAUAGAGGCGGUCGUCCUGCUGUCACACAUAAUUGAUCACAGGCACUGCCUCACUUGGCCUCCAGGAGCCGACCGCCGCCUCUCCGUCUCCUUUGAGAGUUCUCUGGCAGAAUCAGGGAGGCGCCGCCAGCAGGAUUUUGGACGUGCGGCCCCCUCCCUCAGCAGCCGCUUCAGACUGACUUCUCCAAGUUGCCGCCAGGUCACGCACUGCCUGGACCUCCUCCACAGCACGGCUCUCUUCUCUACAGUGGGCCUGCUAUGUUCCCUAACAGGAGACCCGGCCAGCACAGCUCGUCUCUCUAGCAGGCCUCUCACGGUCAGUGAGUCCCCUUUCAUAAAUUCUCCUCUGGGUCAGUGGCGCACGCAGGGGGGGUUUCCGAGUACCUGGAAACCCCCCCUGAUGAGCCGAGUUAUCUUUUUGAGACAGAGACACAGGAGACACAGCUGAAAAAAAUAAAAAAUAAAAAAAAAGACGCGAUCGCGGGGUGCGGAGCUGCAGCAACUACAGAAAGCUAAAGGCCAGUACUCACGGCCCGAUGCAGCUCUCUGCUUACAGUCAUGAAUGUCCCGGGGCCGGCAGCUCCCUCCGUCCUCACACAUUCGCCCCUCUGCCUCCAGCCCACUGUGUACACUAUAUCACCAGAAGUCCUAGGACAUAGAGGCACAGACCGCACUUCAGCAGCACAAUUUAGAGAACCAGUCCUCCACCAAGGUACCAGUAGCACAGCAAUGGCGCCUGGGAUCACUCUAAAGAAGGAUGGCCAUCGGUGUACACCUCCAUGCCUGUUCCUGCUCCUUCUCAUCAGGGGUGUGAGGGGAACCAUUGAUCUGCAGUCAUACAAGCAAUGCAUGCUGACAGGAGUCGUAGAAGAACGCUCACAGCAGAAGAGCCGGUGACAGGCAGGGGAAAGACAACCUGCCAGUAUCUGUGGAAAACAGCGCUCCUCAGGAGAGAGAGCAGAUCUAGAGAGCUCGUUGGGCAGACUUCAAGUCCCGCCUUAAGCAAAAAAGGGCUGCGAACUGGAAUGCUUUGAGGGCAACAGGGGGAGGACCAGCCCCUGAGACUGUGGAGUAUACAGAUCUAGAGGAGCGAACGAUGGUCUGUGUGACCUAUGAGGAGGUGGCAGGUGUGUCACAAAUGGACACAGACACACCUAAGAUGUUAUGGACACAUGACUUGCCAGCUUAUCUUGGACAAAUCAUGUGACUUCUAGCCUCAGGGAUGAAAGAAAAAUAGAGAAGCAAAUUGAUAAUGAUGUCACAUUUACAAGCUGGUAAAUGACAGAAAGAAGAUGGAAGAUAUGGAGUACAUGCCGGAAAUCCUAUCUCUGAAUGCAAAGUACCCCGGCAGUGCCAAUGAUGCCCAUGCCAUUUGGCAAUCAGGGAUCUGGCAAAGAUUAAGAAUGAUGGAGGCCAAGACGUGGCUAUUUGGAGAUCGUGGAUAUCCUUGCACCCCCUGGCUCAUGACUCCUUAAAGCACACCCAGGCCAGGGUCACAGUCCGAGUUUAACUCCGCGCUUACUGCCACUAGGCAGCUGGUGGAGCGCACCAUUGGGGUCCUGAAGGGCCGAUUCCGUGUGCUCCACCGCACUGGUGACGACCUCAUGUAUUCGCCGGAAAUGCUGAUUUAUGCGUCCAAAUGUGGCCAAGCACAACGCCAAAGGCAACAGGAGGAAGAAGGAGCCUCCCCCUCAGCAAGCGGAGGAAAAUGCAACAUCCUCUUCCUCCUCCUCCCCCUCUCAAACCACCUUCCCCCCUCAACAACCCACCCCACAUCAAACCUCAUCCUCUUCCUUCUCAUCCUCCCCCUCUCACUCUCCCCCCCUCAACCCACCUCCCGCUCUCAACCCCCCUCCCUCUCUCACUCUUCACCCCUCUCAAACCCCCCUCCCUCUCUCUCUCUUUUCCUCCCUCUCAACCACCCUCCCCCUCU